UCCUAGUUGUCCUAGGCAGUAUCAAAUGAGAAUACAACAUUUGAUAGGGGUUGCGCUCGUUGCGGGACUUAACCCAACAUCUCACGACACGAGCUGACGACAACCAUGCAGCACCUGGUCAACGGUUCCUUGCGGCACUUCUCCCUUUCGGGAAAAUUCCGUUGAUUUCAAACCCUGGUAAGGUUCUUCGCUUAUUGUCGAAUUAAACCACAUGCUCCACCGCUUGUGCAGGUUCCCGUCAAUUCCUUUGAGUUUUAGUCUUGCGACCGUACUUCCCAGGCGAGAUACUUAACGCGUUAGCUUACGGUUCUGAGAGGGUCGAAACUCCCAAAACCUAGUAUCCAUCGUUUACAGCGUGGACUAC
rnacentral:misc_RNA from 1 species